UACGUAGGGUGCAAGCGUUGUCCGGAAUUAUUGGGCGUAAAGAGCUCGUAGGCGGUCUGUCGCGUCGGCUGUGAAAACCCGGGGCUCAACCCCGGGCCUGCAGUCGAUACGGGCAGACUAGAGUGCGGUAGGGGAGACUGGAAUUCCUGGUGUAGCGGUGAAAUGCGCAGAUAUCAGGAGGAACACCGGUGGCGAAGGCGGGGUCUCUGGCCGUAACUGACGCUGAGGAGCGAAAGCGUGGGGAGCGAACCGG
rnacentral:rRNA from 1 species